GAAAAUCAGAUUUUGUUGGUGCGCUAUAGAAAAAACAACAUUUUUAUUUCGUUUGCCAAAAUCGACAAUUUGGAAAAAGUCGGCAUUUAACAACGGUACAAAAUUAAGUUUUAUUGACGGGUUUAUACGGCUGCGUGCCUUGCAUUUAUUUUUAUAUUGGAUGAAUAAAAAUCAUAGAUAUUCCAUCAGAUUGCGAGCCAUUGCGAGGCCUUCCAACGGUUUACGCGGAAGGUCGCCUUGUUUAAACCAGCCAUAUGCCAUAGAAAAAUUUGUUUCGACAUCUAAGUUGCAGAAAGCCAGCAGAUUGAUGCGACAGUGUCCGUUGUGCCAGAAAAGAGCCAUAUAAUUUCCGCCGACAUAAGUUCCCACAAGCCAAUUAAGUAUCUGGCCAACCAGGUAACGAAGAUAAAAAAAAAAAAAAUUUUUUAAUAGUUACCUCAUGUUAAGUGGAACCGGCACCGUAGCGCUUUAUCGACGGGUGUGAGGCGACCGUUAAACAUCUGAAAUAAAUUAACAAGGAAAUUAAAAUAUUAAUAAUUGAUGUGACAUUAAGUCCACAAAAAAACUAACCUAAAAUCAAAAUUAAAAAAAAAAAAAGAGAAACUAUAGUAUUAAUAUAAUGUUUUAGAAAUAAGUUGUGUUGUUUAGGAGUUAAUAUUCGUUUAUGUUUUAAUUUAAGUAUUAUUAUUGUGAGGAGAAUUAAUGCCACGAAACUCGUUCGACGUGAGUGAAGGAACACCCUCAACGUUCAACUAGGUUUAGACGAAACGUUUUUUCUUUUAGACAGGUUAAAGAAAUGUCUAGCCCUACCUAAUCGAGCUCCAUUAGGCAGAAUACCUUAGAUUAGUAAAAAAAUAGCCCGAAUUGGCCGAAUACCUAGUGUGAAGAUUGUUGUCGUCCCGAAUAUUGACUCACAUUCCUCGUGUUGUCUGGUGUUAAUAAUCCAUUAAGAGACCAUGAUAAAAGCAAUGUUAAUAAAUGUAUAUGUUUGAAUGUUAAGAUUAA